rnacentral:lncRNA from 1 species
AAUGUUAGAAUUUAAAAAUAAAUUCAUUCGAUAAAUAAAAUGUCCAUCCGUUUAAAUACUUAAAGUUCGUGUUUAAGACAGGGACAUCACUCAAGUAAUUUCCGGUCGCCAUCAGGAGCUGAUUGGCCAUUAUGACAAAAGUGUGUCAGAAAUCAUAUCUGAUAUUCUUCCUCAGUCAUAAUAACCUUCCAUCAUUACCGAACUGAACAAAGAAAUAACACGACGGGG